GAUGAAGAACGCAGCAAAAUGCGAUAAGUAAUGUGAAUUGCAGAAUUCAGUGAAUCAUCGAAUCUUUGAACGCACAUUGCGCCCGCCAGUAUUCUGGCGGGCAUGCCUGUUCGAGCGUCAUUUCAACCCUCAAGCACAGCUUGGUGUUGGGACUCGCGUUAAUUCGCGUUCCUCAAAUUGAUUGGCGGUCACGUCGAGCUUCCAUAGCGUAGUAGUAAAACCCUCGUUACUGGUAAUCGUCGCGGCCACGCCGUUAAACCCCAACUUCUGAAUGUUGACCUCGGAUCAGGUAGGAAUACCCGCUGAACUUAAGCAUAUCAAAAGCGGAGGA
rnacentral:misc_RNA from 1 species